rnacentral:rRNA from 1 species
UGUGAGGGGCAUGUGAGGGCUGUCGCUGACUCAAAGUCGUGCACGCCCGAGUGUGUCCUCUCGCAUAAUAAUCCAUCUCACCCUUUGUGCAUCGCCGCGUGGGCACCCUUUGGGAUCAUCUCGGAGGGGGCUCGCGUUUUCACACAAACCCCCCUUUUAAAAGUGUAGAAUGACCUCAUUUAUGCGCUAACACGCAAUCAAUACAACUUUCAACAACGGAUCUCUUGGCUCUCGCAUCGAUGAAGAACGCAGCGAAAUGCGAUACGUAAUGUGAAUUGCAGAAUUCAGUGAAUCAUCGAAUCUUUGAACGCACCUUGCGCCCCUUGGUAUUCCGAGGGGCACACCCGUUUGAGUGUCGUGAAAACCUCAACCUCCUUGGUUUCUUCUGGAGACCAAAGGCAGGCUUGGACUUUGGAGGCCUUUGCUGGAACCUCUCUCUUUUGAAGGCCAGCUCCUCUUAAACGAAUUAGCAGGGUCCUCUUUGCCGAUCCUCGACGUGUGAUAAGAUGUUUCCAUGUCUUGGUUUCUGGCUCUGUCACCUUUGGGACCCGCUUCUAACCGUCUUGACCUUGCGUCGAGACAACGUUCGAGCAUGUCUCCCUUCUCGGGAAGCUCCCUCGACCCCACGAACCCUUGACCUCAAAUCGGGUGAGACUACCCGCUGAACUUAAGCAUAUCAAUAAGCGGAGGAAAAGAAACUAACAAGGAUUCCCCUAGUAACUGCGAGUGAAGCGGGAAAAGCUCAAAUUUAAAAUCUGGCGGUCUUUGGCCGUCCGAGUUGUAAUUUAGAGAAGCGUCUUCCGCGCUGGACCGUGUACAAA